CUGUUCUUUUCUCUUUCAUAGCUUUGUACAUUCAUACUGAUUAUCCUGAUGGACCUGGUCUUUUUCUUUACUGAGGAUUGAACCACAAAUUGUGACACUGAUCUUAGAAAAACAUGGUUUGGACUUCACAACAAACGCUAUAACAUCACUUCGUAAUGAAAUCGCUGAUUUAAGAGCAGAGAAUGUAAACCUGAAGAUGGAAGUGAAUGAUUUAAGGUGGAUAGCAAAGUAGGGAAGAACGAACUGCCAAGACAUCUGCGCCUAAUACAGACAAAAUGGACCACAAAUGAACACACACAACCCAAAAAACAUCAGGAAUCAGGCAGCAGAAAUAAUCAAGAUUUAAGACGUGGUUUGGCCAUCACACCUGACUCCUCCUGUUCCGGAGCACAAAUUCA